UCGACAUUAAGAUAACGGUCAUUCGCCGGGUCUUAUACAUUUAUGAAAGCCUGGAACCCGGGUUCAACUCCCGGAUGUCGAA
rnacentral:tRNA from 1 species